UCCCAAAGUGCUGGGAUUACAGGCAUGAGCCACCAUGCCCAGCUUUUUGCUUCUGUUUUUAAGAGACAGGAUCUUGCUAUGUUGCCCAGCCUGGAGUGCAAUGGCUUAUGGGCUCAAGCCAUCCUCCUGCCUCAGCCUCCUAAGUAGCUGGAACUACAGACACAGGCCACUAUGCCUGGCUUGGUUGCCUUUUUUCUUUUCUUUUUUUUGAGACAAUUUCUUGCUAUGUUGCCCAGGCUGGACUUGAACCCCUGGACUCGAGCACUCCUCCUACCUCAGCCUCUCAAGUAGCUGGGAUUUUAGGAACAUGCCACCGCACCCAGCUGCUGAAGGUUUUGAGUGGUGAACAAGGUCUCAGAUCCAAGGUCCACAGGCAGGACUGGAGUAGGGGGGUCUGAAGUCCCUGGGAAGGUGAGGGGAGGAUCCUAAGCCAGUGGGCAGGAGCAUUUCCAUAGGUGUGCCUCACCUCAGGAGCUCUCUCAGGUUCACAUGGCAGUAAAGCUAGGCACAAGGAGUACUGCACAGUAGUCCCAGCAAGCAUCCUGGGUGAAGGCGAGGAAGCAGGGCGCAAGGCUCCUUCAACUGCCUAUGUGGCCUCAGGGACCCAAGCCUCCCUUUUUCUUUCUUUUUUUAAUUUUUUUUUUUUUUUUUUUUUUUUGAGACAGAGUCUCGC
rnacentral:lncRNA from 1 species